AAGGCAACAGGGGAAAAUGGCUGCUCUUGUGUGAAGUUGGCAACUAUCGAUGAUUUGAGGAGAGGCAGCUCUUGAGACAUACUCUUAGUGAGACUCCGAUGAAAGGUUAUUGAGCCAUGGAGGAGAUGACCUCUCCAUCCUGUCAAUGACUAACCUCCAGGGACUGUUGAUGAAAAUUGCCAGGGUACAACAUUUGGAGGCACUGCUCAGAUGCUUGUUUGGAGGACCAUCCCUGAGCUCUCAUCCAACAUCCCUCUAAAUUACCCAGGCAUCAGAGAAAGGAUUCCAGAAAAGCCGUUGAGGCGGGCGGUCUUCAGACAACCUGGCAACUUGUAUCCUGAAGUGAGCAAAAGUGACCACUAGGGAGCAGGAAAGGGCCAUAAAGUCAACUAAACCCCCUGUUUUACUGCUUUUGGCAAUUCUCUGAUAAAGUAUGCAAUGUGCUUCAGAUAUCAGGACUGGGAAAAGAAGAGGUGACUGGUAAAACUCAGCAAAUUAAUUGCAUGUGUAAUAAAUCAUCUUGAGCAGGAAGAGUUGGCUGAGUUAGAGGAUGAGAGCAUGUCAGAUCUCCUUAAUAUUCAAAACAUUAUAGACAAACUUCAAGUGGCAACCUACCUGGAUGAAUAUGAAAACACUGAUCAAACUGAUGAACAAGACAACCUGUGAAAAGAGGUGGAGGCACUGAGAUUGUCACUACAAGAGAAAGAGAAUACUUCGCAUGGACUUGUAAGUACAAACACAAACCCCCUUCCAAAGUCCAGCACCCCUGUGAAAAGUAUACCCACAGCCCCCCCAAAUUGCAAUAUGUGGCACAAAGACUUUAAGAUAUCAGGGCAAAUAGGCGAGCCAGGACAAAAAGAUAGGCUAACCUUUUCUAGUCUGGCCAGACAAAUUGAAAGUGGGCUUAGCAAAGAAUACCCAGAGUCAGAGAUCAGCGAUGCGGUUAUUUGCGCGAUCGCACCAGGCCUGCACUUAAGGAGUUACCUCGAGGGGAAGGGAAAAAUAACACUGCCUGCCCUUUGCAGGAUCCUUAGAUGUCAUUACCAGGAGAGAGGUGCCACGGAAUUAUACAAACAACUCACCUCUGAAGCACAGAACAGUAAAGAAACCCCCCAGAGUUUCCUGAUUAGAGCGAUGGACUUGAGACAGAAAAUCCUAUUAGUCUCUCAGGAAGCCGAUUCAAACAUGAAAUAUGAUCCAGCACUAGUCCAGAGUCUAUGCAUGCACACUGUCCUAACCAGCCUACAGAGUGACAAUAUCAGUAGUGACCUACAGCCUUACCGCCUACAAAUAAGUACUUCAGAUGAACUGCUGCUUGAGAGACUGAACACCGCCUGUGCCAAUGAAAAGGAGAGACAGGACAAAAAGAAACCUGCUGCUCCAUCUCAAGUAACAAAUGUGCAAAUGGUCCAUUCAGGUGAAGUUCCAGUGGAAAAGUAAAUCAUGACCCAGCAAAGCCCAGCCACGCUGGCCCCUGAUCUGCUGUCCGAGAUUAAAUAAAUGUGCUCUGAUAUGGUGUUGUUGAAAGACCUGAGAGCUGAAAUGGCACAAAUAAGAGAAACCAUCCAAAAGUCCACACCUGCACCCCCAUAGUAUCCCCAACCAAGCUGAGAACUAGAAAAUGUGUCUGCCCCUUAUCCAGUGUUCUCAACCCCACAGCCCUCACCUUAUAAGACUGGCUCACACGCCAUGCCAUUUUAUCACCAGCAGUCAUCAGCAGCAGUGCAAGAGUACCAGCAAGCUUUUGGUCCUAGACGGAUGAGAGGAACAGCCCAGUUCCAACAAGGGUUUGCACCACAGCUGUAUUAGUCAGCACCACGCCCCCACCCAAGAUGUUUCACUUGUACUCAAGCAGGUGAGGAGUAAUGUCAACACUGCUUCAGGUGCGGAAGCAGUGAACAUUUCAGAGCAGGCUGUAAAGCGCAGAGACCAGCAGAACCUGCAAGGAAGAGCCCUUUAAACUGAGAGGGGUUGCUCCAAAUGGGCAUGUAGCAACCAGCGAUAUGAAUAAGUCCCAAUUUUGUGCAGGCUGUGAAGAAGAGAAAAUAAGAGAGACCCUUAAAUGCUGUUCAAUUUGCAAAAACACGCUGCAUUGCUCAAAAGAAUGUCUGGAGGCUCACUGGCCUUCACACAAAAUACAUUGUAAGCCAUAUGCAUGUUCAGCUGUUAGAAAACAGGCAACAAAGCUAUAUCAGAAAGCUAAGUGUCAAGAAAAUAGUGCCCAAGAAAAAACACCUACAGUAAGGGAGCUAGUAGGGAAAAGGUGCAUCAUUAGGUGUUACGUAAGCAAACAAAAGGUCCAGGCGCUUUGGGAUACAGGUUCACAAGUUUGUGCUAUAGAGGAGAUAUGGAAAGCAAGCUACUUACCUGACGUGCCAUUAAGAGAUGUUACAGAGUUCAUUGACCCACUUGAUUCUUUACGAAUUGAAGCAGCCAAUGCUGAGUAUUUACUCACGUGUCUGAAUGUAUGAAAAGAGUUCCAGUCUGUAAUAUUGUACUAUGUAAGACAAAAUGUGUCAGUAGAGUUGCUCUAUGAGUGUGCAUAAUGUGUGCGUUAAAAAAAAAAAAAAAAAAAAAAAAACCUUUAUUUGCACUAAAGGUCAAAGGUUAGGAUGUUGGGGACAACAUCUAUUUUUGAGGGGGAGUAUGUAACGGAUUGUUAUGUGACAGAAGGAAGAAGGAGUUAAUUGAUCAAGGAGUAAUCCAAACCCAGGUGGAUCGAGUGUGCAGUGAUCUGUUCGUAAUGACUUAAACCAAAGUUGAUCUAUUGUGCAGUUAUCUGCUAGUAAUACCUCAGGGCUCCGGUAGAGGGAACCAUAGACAUAUAAAGAGUAGACGCCGCAACGGCUGCCGGGCAGGGAGAAAUGCGGCGGCCAUCUUGGGGCGGUCAUUCU